GUGCUUGCUUCAGCACCACAUGUUCUGAAGCUGGAAAGAUACAGAGGAGAUUAGCAUGGCCCCUGCGCUAGGGUGACACACACAUCCGUGAAGCGUUCCAUAUUUAG